ACCUCGUUUGGUCCCGUUAGUUUGUCCCGUUUAUAUGCCGCCAUGUUAGUUCAAAAGCAGAUUUGAUUUUUAUAUUAUUAUAAAAGUUAUACUAGCACAUCCAACACAUAUUUACUAAAAGAUAUUAUCAAAGGGAGCAAAUUAGAUUCCGAAAUAAAAAAUGGACGACAAUUUGUUAGAAAAUCUAGAAAAUUAUAAAGCACAACUAAGUCAGGUAGAAGCUGCUCUUUUAAUUGAUUCCAGUGAUGAGGAUUUACUAAGGCUUCAAAAAGAUCUUGAGGAGGUAAUAGCUCUAACCAAUGACCUAAUUCAAAUAAAUGAGGCAGAGGGUAUACCUGAAAAAGAAGCUCCCUCAAAAGCAAUAUGGAAAGUUGGAGAUCGUGUACAAGUAUAUCGAAAAAUUGAUGGAAUGCUUCAUACUGCAACUAUUGAUAUGAUUUCUGAGGAUGGAGUUUCAUGUACUGUAAAGUUUGACAACAGUGGAUUGGUCGAUUUAGUUAAAGUAUCAUUGUUAUCACGAAUUGAAAAAGAAGAUAAAAAAGCUACAAUAGGGACUAAGCCAGUAAAUAAAUUAACCAGGGAAGAACUAGAAAAACGAAAAGAAAUUAAAAAAAAAAAACUUAUGAAAAAGAAGCAAAGAAUGAAGGAUUUUGAAGAAGCACGAGAAACUGGAAAACAAAAAUGGCAGACAUUCUUUAAAAAAGGAAACCUUAAAGGAAAAAACAAAGUACGCGGUUUAAACAAAAAAAGUAUUUUUGCAUCUGCUGUUGACGGAAAAGGAAAGAUUGGCAUUGGAACAUGCGGUACCUCUGGAAAGGGAAUGACUUCAUUUACGCCUGCAUCUCAAUAUAUGUACAAAAAGUAGAACUCGUGCACAUUUUGUAAGUUCUCGGAAUUCUUAUAAACGAAUUAAUUUUGGGGGACCAGACAAAUUCCGAAUUUUUCCGAAAAUCCGCAAUAAUACAUUCCGCAUUAUACUCGGAAAAAAACCACUUUGGUUUCAAAGAACUUUCCCUUUAAAAAAUGCUCUAAAAGAAGGAACGUUAUUAGCUUUCUCAUUUCCUUCAAACUGUAUAUUAGUGAUUUUUAUAUAAAAUUUAACCUA